GCUUGCUUCCUGAUUCAGCGGCGGACGGGUGAGUAAUGCCUAGGAAUCUGCCUGGUAGUGGGGGACAACGUUUCGAAAGGAACGCUAAUACCGCAUACGUCCUACGGGAGAAAGCAGGGGACCUUCGGGCCUUGCGCUAUCAGAUGAGCCUAGGUCGGAUUAGCUAGUUGGUGAGGUAAUGGCUCACCAAGGCGACGAUCCGUAACUGGUCUGAGAGGAUGAUCAGUCACACUGGAACUGAGACACGGUCCAGACUCCUACGGGAGGCAGCAGUGGGGAAUAUUGGACAAUGGGCGAAAGCCUGAUCCAGCCAUGCCGCGUGUGUGAAGAAGGUCUUCGGAUUGUAAAGCACUUUAAGUUGGGAGGAAGGGCAGUAAGCGAAUACCUUGCUGUUUUGACGUUACCGACAGAAUAAGCACCGGCUAACUCUGUGCCAGC
rnacentral:rRNA from 1 species